AUUGAACGCUGGCGGCAUGCUUUACACAUGCAAGUCGAACGGCAGCGCGGGCUUCGGCCUGGCGGCGAGUGGCGAACGGGUGAGUAAUACAUCGGAACGUGCCCAGUUGUGGGUGAUAGCUCGGCGAAAGCCGGAUUAAUACCGCAUACGACCUGAGGGUGAAAGGGGGGGAUCUUCGGACCUCGCGCUAUUGGGGCGGCCGAUGGCGGAUUAGCUAGUUGGUGGGGUAAAGGCCUACCAAGGCGACGAUCUGUAGCUGGUCUGAGAGGAUGAGCAGCCACACUGGGACUGAGACACGGCCCAGACUCCUACGGGAGGCAGCAGUGGGGAAUUUUGGACAAUGGGCGAAAGCCUGAUCCAGCCAUGCCGCGUGUGUGAUGAAGGCCUUCGGGUUGUAAAGCACUUUUGGCGGGAAAGAAAAGGAGUGUGCUAAUACCACGGUUCGAUGACGGUACCCGCAGAAUAAGCACCGGCUAACUACGUG
rnacentral:rRNA from 1 species